rnacentral:miRNA from 1 species
GGCUCUUGCGGGAAGUGGGGGAAGGGACAGAGCAUGCGACUCUGUCCCUUCCCCCACCUCCCAGAAAAGCC